rnacentral:pre_miRNA from 1 species
UUUCUACUCCCUCCGUCCGAAAAUACUUGUCAUCAAAAUGGAUAAAAAGAGAUGUAUCUAAAACUAAAACACGUCUAGAUGCAUUUCCUUUUAUCCAUUUUGAUGACAAGUAUUUCCGGACGGAGGGAGUAUUUG